CUUUAUUGUUCUAGCUUCAAAUCGUCUCUCUGGGGACAA
rnacentral:rRNA from 1 species